CAUAUACUCCCUCCGUCCGGAAAUACUUGUCAUCAAAAUGGAUAAAAGGGGAUGUAUCUAGACGUAUUUUAGUUCUAAAUACAUCUUUUUUAUCCAUUUUGAUGACAAGUAUUUUGGGACGGAGGGAGUAGUAU
rnacentral:pre_miRNA from 1 species